GAGCCAUUUUACUAAGCUGACAGAGUUGGUGAGAAGAUUGAGGCCUGGAGGAAUCGCCUGUAAGCCCCAGAUCCCUGGCUGACUGGCAGAGGAGACAGCACUCUGGCUGCAGGGCUCUGGCCAGGUGAACAGAAGCUACAGUAAGAAGACCAACAUGAAAGCCAAAAUUUGACUUCUCGACCAUUUAAUAGAGAAUGAAAAGGAUCUUUCUUUAUCUAUAUAAAGUGAUGUACCCCCAACAUAAGGAAAUAAUGUUGAAA
rnacentral:lncRNA from 10 species